ACGCUCGACACCUAGGGGCAGCAGUAGGGAAUCUUCCACAAUGGACGCAAGUCUGAUGGAGCAACGCCGCGUGAGUGAAGAAGGUUUUCGGAUCGUAAAGCUCUGUUGUUGGUGAAGAAGGAUAGAGGUAGUAACUGGCCUUUAUUUGACGGUAAUCAACCAGAAAGUCACGGCUAACUACGUGCCGNNGCGCGGUAGUAUGAGCGGCGNGNGAGAG
rnacentral:rRNA from 1 species